rnacentral:rRNA from 1 species
GACGAACGCUGGCGGCGUGCUUAACACAUGCAAGUCGAACGGAAAGGCCCUGCUUUUGUGGGGUGCUCGAGUGGCGAACGGGUGAGUAACACGUGAGUAACCUGCCCUUGACUUUGGGAUAACUUCAGGAAACUGGGGCUAAUACCGGAUAGGAGCUCCUGCUGCAUGGUGGGGGUUGGAAAGUUUCGGCGGUUGGGGCUGGACUCGCGGCUUAUCAGCUUGUUGGUGGGGUAGUGGCUUACCAAGGCUUUGACGGGUAGCCGGCCUGAGAGGGUGACCGGCCACAUUGGGACUGAGAUACGGCCCAGACUCCUACGGGAGGCAGCAGUGGGGAAUAUUGCACAAUGGGCGGAAGCCUGAUGCAGCAACGCCGCGUGCGGGAUGACGGCCUUCGGGUUGUAAACCGCUUUCGCCUGUGACGAAGCGUGAGUGACGGUAAUGAGUAAAGAAGCACCGGCUAACUACGUG